UACAGAGGUCUCAAGCGUUGUUCGGAUUCAUUGGGCGUAAAGGGUGCGUAGGCGGCCAACUAAGUCGGACGUGAAAUCCCUCAGCUUAACUGGGGAACUGCGUCCGAUACUGGAUGGCUUGGAUUCGGGAGAGGGAUGCGGAAUUCCAGGUGUAGCGGUGAAAUGCGUAGAUAUCUGGAGGAACACCGGUGGCGAAGGCGGCAUCCUGGACCGAUAUUGACGCUGAGGAGCGAAAGCCAGGGGAGCAAACGGG
rnacentral:rRNA from 1 species